AUUGAACGCUGGCGGCAGGCCUAACACAUGCAAGUCGAACGGUAACAGGAAGCAGCUUGCUGCUUCGCUGACGAGUGGCGGACGGGUGAGUAAUGUCUGGGAAGCUGCCUGAUGGAGGGGGAUAACUACUGGAAACGGUAGCUAAUACCGCAUAAUGUCGCAAGACCAAAGAGGGGGACCUUCGGGCCUCUUGCCAUCGGAUGUGCCCAGAUGGGAUUAGCUUGUUGGUGGGGUAACGGCUCACCAAGACGACGAUCCCUAGCUGGUCUGAGAGGAUGACCAGCCACACUGGAACUGAGACACGGUCCAGACUCCUACGGGAGGCAGCAGUGGGGAAUAUUGCACAAUGGGCGCAAGCCUGAUGCAGCCAUGCCGCGUGUAUGAAGAAGGCCUUCGGGUUGUAAAGUACUUUCAGCGGGGAGGAAGGGAGUAAAGUUAAUACCUUUGCUCAUUGACGUUACCCGCAGAAGAAGCACCGGCUAACUCCGUG
rnacentral:rRNA from 1 species